rnacentral:rRNA from 1 species
AUGAACGCUGGCGGCGUGCCUAAUACCUGCAAGUCGAGCGAACGGACGAGAAGCUUGCUUCUCUGAUGUUAGCGGCGGACGGGUGAGUAACACGUGGAUAACCUACCUAUAAGACUGGGAUAACUUCGGGAAACCGGAGCUAAUACCGGAUGAUAUUUUGAACCGCAUGGUUCAAAAGUGAAAGACGGUCUUGCUGUCACUUAUAGAUGGAUCCGCGCUGCAUUAGCUAGUUGGUAAGGUAACGGCUUACCAAGGCAACGAUGCAUAGCCGACCUGAGAGGGUGAUCGGCCACACUGGAACUGAGACACGGUCCAGACUCCUACGGGAGGCAGCAGUAGGGAAUCUUCCGCAAUGGGCGAAAGCCUGACGGAGCAACGCCGCGUGAGUGAUGAAGGUCUUCGGAUCGUAAAACUCUGUUAUUAGGGAAGAACAUAUGUGUAAGUAACUGUGCACAUCUUGACGGUACCUAAUCAGAGAGCCACGGCUAACUACGUG